rfam:Pan troglodytes isolate Yerkes chimp pedigree #C0471 (Clint) chromosome 6, whole genome shotgun sequence.
GCCGGGUAUGGUGGUGCAUGCCUGUAAUCCCAGCUACUCGGGAGGCUGAAGCAGGAGAAUUGCUUGAACCCGGGAGGCGGAGACUGCAAUGAGCUGAAAAUGCGCCAUUGCACUCCAGCCUGAGUGACAGAGCAAGACUCUGUCUCAA